GCCGGAGUGGCGUAAUGGCAGCCGCGCACGACUCAAAAUCGUGUCCCGCAAGGGGUGUGGGUUCGAGUCCCACCUCCGGCACAA
rnacentral:tRNA from 3 species